CUGUAAAUGGAUAAAACAGGACUGUCAUAUCCUGCCAAGACAGGCCUCAGAACCAACUUCUAGCAAAUAUUCAUCAGUUUGAUGGAGUCUGCCUGAAUUUUAUCCAUACCACAUCACUGCUCUUCCAAUUGAAAAAGGAGUGACAUGUGAUCUGUUACCUAAAGCAGAUUCACUGAACAAACAACCAUUUUUGUCUUACCUUCACUGAAGCUCUGAAGAGAGCUCAGGGCCAGCAAGGCAACUGUGAACAGGGAAAACAGCAUCUUGGCGUCUCUGGAGUUUCUUCCAAGUCUGUGCUGCAGGCAGUGUGGUACCUGCCUUUAUAUGACCCAGAAGAAGAAUGGUGUCUUUGAUCCCAUCAUGGAUGACUUCAUAUUUGACAAAGUAGGAAAUAUUGCAUCCUUGACUCUCAUUGGGAGUUCUGCCAGCUAGUAUAACAUGAGGCAUUGGAAGCGUGACUUGGAUUAAGAGCAGAUGAAGCAUAGCUAUGAUGCUAAUAUCAAUAUUAAA